AUGAUAAAAUGUAAGGACUAAACCACCGGUCAGUCACCGAGACCAUCACGUCGGCGGGAAGCGUUAGCCGCGCGCGAUGAGAGAACACGAAGCAGCGCGAGACUGGAUCCGCAGCGACGAAACCGCGAAGCAGAUGCUAUCAAGAGUCCUCGGAGACCGCGCCUUCCUACUUCUCCCGCCUCUCCACCGCGUGCCUCUGCGCGCAGGGAACGUAGUCGAGAUCACCGGCUCGUCCCCGACCGCGAAAACUCAGAUCCUGAUCCAAGCCGCCAUCGCUUGCAUCCUCCCGAAGACGUGGAACGGCGUCCACUACGGAGGACUGGAGAAACUGGUCUUGUUCCUCGAUCUGGAUUGCAGAUUCGACGUGAUGCGUUUAUCCGAUAUGCUCAAGCAUCGUCUCCUCGAAGCUAACCGGAUAGGGAAUGGAGCAUGGUGGCAACUUGAAGAGUCAAGUGGUGUUAAGAAUUGCAGAGGUGCACAAGACAAGUCAAAGUCAAAGUCUAAGAUUGUUUAUGAUGAGGAGUUGUAUGUUUCGUGCAUGAAGAGGUUCUUGUAUCUUCGUUGCUAUGAUAGUCUCGAGCUUCUGUCCAGUCUCAAGACAUUGCAUUAUCGGAUUAGACUGCAGGAAGCGUGUGGAAGCCAAGUCGGAGUGCUUAUGAUUGACAGCAUUGGUGCUUUCCACUGGACUGAUCGUCUAUCAUCAUCAUUGGCAUUGGAUAAAAAUAACAGGAAGAGUCUCUCCCUUACGAAUGUGGUGGAGACGAUAGUGCAAGAGAUGAAGAAGCUAAUGCGGGUGCAUUCUCUAGUAGUAAUUGCCACUAAAGCUACAAUCUACGAAGAAAAGUACCCAACAAAUGAGAAUAAUCGGAAGCUCUCCUCUAACAAUGAUAAAGCUCAGCAGCCUCCAUUUCGUGAAUUCAUGCCUUCUUCUUGGCAGGCAUUUGUGACACAUAAGAUAUUCAUACGGAAGUCAGGUGAUCAUCAUCAGUCUUCGGGACAACAAAGUUUGUCUGCAUACUCACUUGAAUGGUUACAACCGCAACUUAGUAGCAUUGACCGUUUCAUAGUAGACGAUUCUGGUGUUGUCAUUGUCUCAUGACUUAAGAGAUUCCGUUUCAGAAAUCAUAUCUAUUGUAAGGUAUCUAUUAGCUUAGCAGUAUAGCAAAGUCUCCGGAUGUAAAGUGAAUGCAGAGUUUAUUUAUUUACAUCAGAAAGAGAGAAAAGUAAAAGACAGAAAGAGUUAAACCUUUAAAGAAACUUGAAAGUGAUUCUUAAUGGGGACAUCACUACUCAGGUCUUAAGCAUUAGGAGUCGUGUUACAUUUUUUCGACGCCAAAAUCAUAUUGUAGCAGCAUUUUGCUUGUGGACUGUCUUAUUAUACCAGUCAUCAGUGUUUGAGUGGUUACUUUUCAUUUUCCACAUAGUAUAUAUCUCGUUUUCACCAAUUCUAUCUGAUCUUGGGACUUAGCAGAUAAGACAGUCUUGUCUCAUGUAAUAUCUUCAUCUUAUGGAAGACUAGUAUGAUCAACUUGGAUUUAGGAA